AGCAUAUCAAUAAGCGGAGGAAAAGAAACUAACAAGGAUUCCCCUAGUAACUGCGAGUGAAGCGGGAAAAGCUCAAAUUUAAAAUCUGGCGGUCUCYGGCCGUCCGAGUUGUAAUCUAGAGAAGUGUUAUCCGCGUUGGACCGUGUACAAGUCUCCUGGAAUGGAGCGUCAUAGAGGGUGAGAAUCCCGUCUUUGACACGGACUGCCAAGGCUUUGUGAUGCGCUCUCAAAGAGUCGAGUUGUUUGGGAAUGCAGCUCAAAAUGGGUGGUAAAUUCCAUCUAAAGCUAAAUAUUGGCGAGAGACCGAUAGCGAACAAGUACCGUGAGGGAAAGAUGAAAAGAACUUUGGAAAGAGAGUUAAACAGUACGUGAAAUUGCUGAAAGGGAAACGCUUGAAGUCAGUCGCGUUGGCCGAGGAUCAACCUUGCUUUUGCUGGGCGUACUUCUCGGUCGACGGGUCAGCAUCAAUUUUGACCGGUGGAUAAAGGCUAGGGGAAUGUGGCAUCUUCGGAUGUGUUAUAGCCCUUGGUCGCAUACAUCGGUUGGGAUUGAGGAACUCAGCACGCCGCAAGGCCGGGUUUUUAACCACGUACGUGCUUAGGAUGCUGGCAUAAUGGCUUUAAUCGACCCGUCUUGAAACACGGACCAAGGAGUCUAACAUGCCUGCGAGUGUUUGGGUGGAAAACCCGAGCGCGUAAUGAAAGUGAAAGUUGAGAUCCCUGUCGUGGGGAGCAUCGACGCCCGGACCAGACCUUUUGUGACGGUUCCGCGGUAGAGCAUGUAUGUUGGGACCCGAAAGAUGGUGAACUAUGCCUGAAUAGGGUGAAGCCAGAGGAAACUCUGGUGGAGGCUCGUAGCGAUUCUGACGUGCAAAUCGAUCGUCAAAUUUGGGUAUAGGGGCGAAAGACUAAUCGAACCAUCUAGUAGCUGGUUCCUGC
rnacentral:rRNA from 1 species